AAAGAUACAUAUUGCCCCAAUUGUUGUUCGAAUGAAGUAUGAAGGAACGCAAGACCAAGAUGAAAUGCCAUACUCAUGUGGAACUUUGACCUCAUUUGAUUUAAAGGGGGCAAUCCUCCAUGGUAAAUUGAUAUCUUCGAUGGCCGAUUUUAGGAGGAUAUCAAGUGUUUGCAUUGAAUUUUUCAAGUUCGUCGGUCUUCAAUUUGAAGUCUUCAAGUCCGUAAGUCUUCAAGUUGAAGUCUUCAAAUCCGUUGAUCUUCAAGUUGGAAUAUUUAGGCCCUCUAGGUCUUUAAGUUGAAGUCUUCAAAUACACAAAGUCUUUGAUUUGAAUACUUGAAAUCUGCUAAGUGAAGUUGAAACCUUUGAGUUACCAAAUCUUUAAGUUGAAGUCUUCAAUUUUGAAAGUUUUCAAAUUGAAUCAUCAAAGUAAAGUCUUCAAAUUCGCUAAGUCAAGUUAAGGCCUUCAAAUUCUCCAGAAGUUGAAGUCCCCAAUUCUGCAAAAUUGUCAAGUUGAAUCGUCAAGUUAAAGUCUUCAAAUGCACUAAAUCUUCAAGAGAAGUCUUCAGAUAUGUCAAAUCUUCAUGUAGAAGCCUAUAAGUCUUCCAUGUCUUCAAGUUGAAAUGUAAAGCCAAAAGAUUCUUUGAUUGUGAGGUUAACUUUACUAACUUAGUAUCUUUGGAAUUGAUUUUUUCUUCUACCUGCAAAAAAAAGUAGAAACAUAUCUAUAUAAAGGAGAUCACAAAUUUACCUGUGAAGAUUGAAGUUGAAGAGAUAUUCUUGGUGGUCAGCUUUUGAAAGAAAAAAAAUCAUGCUUUAUACAAUCUUUGAUUCAUGUAUCUCGAAAUGAGGACAAAUUUUCAUUCCUUUACACCAAAAGGUCAAAUCUUUUGGUGGAGAAGUAAAAUCUUCAAGUUAGAUUGUAUAAUGGACUUUGCUUGUCUUCGCCUUGGACAAAGUAUAGUCUUCAGCUUAGACGGUGUAAUGGUCCUAGCCUCGGACAAAGUAAAGUCUUCAGCUUGGAUGGUUGUCUUCGCCUUUGCAGAAUAAAUCAUUAGCUCAGACGGUAUUAAUGGUCUUUGCUUCAAAACAAAUCUUUGGCUUAGACGGUAUAAUGGUCUAUUCCUUAGAUAAAAUGAAGUUAAAUCUUCAAACAAGAUGAAGUCAUUAGCUCAGACGGUGUAAUGGUCUUUUCUUCAAAAAAAAUCUUUGGCUUAGACGGUGUAUGGUCUGUGCCUUAGAUAAAAUGAAGUUACAUCUUAAAAGAAGAUGAAGUCAUUAGCUUAGAUGGUGACGCUGUAAUGGUCUAUGCCUUGGAUAAAUGAAGUUAAAUCUUAAAACAAGAUGAAGUCAUUAGCUUAGACGGUGUAAUGAUCUUUACUUCAGACAAAAUAAAUCUUUGGCCCAUACGGUGUAAUGGUCUAUGCCUUAGAUAAAAUGAAGUUAAACAAGAUGAAAUCAUUAGCUCAGACGGAGUAAUGGUCUUCGCUUCAAAUAAUAAAUCUUUGGCAUAAAUAAUGUGAUGUUAUUUGCCUAAGAUAAAAUAAAUCUUUGGCUUAGACGGUUUACGGUUAAUGAGUACUCAUCCCCUCACACCCCAAGAACGUCUUCUUCAUGCAUGGAUUCUCUCGUUGAGAAAGAACAAAUCUUUCUCGCUUGACCCACAAAAAAAAAAAAACAACAACAACGAAGAAAAGAAGAAAUUACUUUCACAUCAAUGCUUUCGAGUCCAUGAAACUAGACUCAAA
rnacentral:lncRNA from 1 species